rnacentral:rRNA from 1 species
GCCACCGAAUACAUUAGCAUGGGAUAAUGGAAUAGGACCCUGUCCUCCUAUUUUCAGUUGGUUUUGGCAGCGCGAGGACUAGGGUAAUGAUUAAUAGGGAUAGUUGGGGGCAUUAAUAUUUAAUUGUCAGAGGUGAAAUUCUUGGAUUUAUGAAAGAUUAACUUCUGCGAAAGCAUCUGCCAAGGAUGUUUUCAUUAAUCAAGAACGAAAGUUAGGGGAUCGAAGACGAUCAGAUACCGUCGUAGUCUUAACCAUAAACGAUGCCGACCAGCGAUUAGGAGACGUUGAAUACAAAACACCACCAUCGGCGCGGUCGUCCUUGGCGUUCGUGUUCACGCACGG